rnacentral:rRNA from 1 species
AGGGCACCACCAGGAGUGGAGCCUGCGGCUUAAUUUGACUCAACACGGGAAAACUCACCCGGCCCGGACACUGGAAGGAUUGACAGAUUGAGAGCUCUUUCUUGAUUCAGUGGGUGGUGGUGCAUGGCCGUUCUUAGUUGGUGGAGUGAUUUGUCUGGUUAAUUCCGAUAACGAACGAGACUCUAGCCUAUUAAAUAGGCUCUCGGCUUUUAAACGCCGGGAGGACUUCUUAGAGGGACAGGUGGCGGUUCAGCCGCACGAAAGAGAGCAAUAACAGGUCUGUGAUGCCCUUUGUUGUCCGGGGCCGCACGCGCGCUACACUGAAGAGAUCAGCGUGCUUUACGUUCCUGCUCCGACCGGAGUGGGGAACCCAGUGAACCUUCUUCGUGAUUGGGAUAGAAGAUUGUAAUUAUUCUUCUUGAACGAGGAAUUCCCAGUAAAUGCGAGUCAUAAGCUCGCGUUGAUUACGUCCCUGCCCUUUGUACACACCGCCCGUCGCUACUACCGAUUGAACGAUUU